GGGCGCUUGAGUACUUUAAAGAGAACACCUUUGGGUAAUUCGACCGGAGCCAACAUUGCUAGCUUGGAGAGAAAGUUGGCCCUGGUAUUUUCCAACCUCGAAAUCUGCCUGAUGUCAAAGCUGCCGAAGGCGGGGAUGAGCUCUUUUACCUUUUCAAGAUAUUUAGCCAUGCUGUCCUCCCGUGCCUCGUAGUUUUCGUUGACUUGUCCC
rnacentral:lncRNA from 1 species